GAGGGAUUAGCUAGUAAUCUUUCUCCUCCAAGGUCACUCAUCUCUUCUUCACAUCUUACCUUGGUGUGGAGACUUAGAAGUUCUCUAUUUUGAGAACUUGGAGAAACAUAUUCUUCCAUCCAAAUCCAUGGAUCUAAGAAGCAAGGAAUGAAGGCCCUCUCCUUGAGUGAUUAGCCUUUGCUUAUGCAAAGAGGAAUCUACAAAGGUAUAAAUUUCUCAACUCACUUUGAUUUGAGUUGAGUCUUGGUUCACCAAACUACUAGGCUUUGAAUUUCAUGGGUAAUGUUUUGUUUUGAGUGCAUGCAAGCAUGAUUCCGCCUUUAAUUUGUUAAUUGCAUGCUAUAGAUGUUGCUCAAAUGAACAUGUUCUUCAUAAAAUUUUCCUUCAUCUUUAUCUCUUCAACAAAUUACGAGAAAUUUUUCGUUUGAAAAUGGUAGAUUCAAUUUGUAUCAUCUUUGUUGGAUAUUAGAGAUUCGUGUGUUAAUCAAUCAAGUCAAGUUCAUAUGAUAAAAUCAGCUAUAGAAUUGAAAAAUAAAGGACAAAAUCAGUUGCAUUCUAGUUUCCAUGAUAUGAAAAGUUAGAGAACGUGGGUUCUUUUUUUUUUCUUUCAAAUUUUUCAAAGAAAAGCAAGGGGAAGAGAAGAAACAAUACGCGACUAGGAAGAAAAUCUGACAAGAAAAAGGAGAGGAGGAAUUCAGU
rnacentral:lncRNA from 1 species